rnacentral:rRNA from 1 species
GACGAACGCUGGCGGCGUGCUUAACACAUGCAAGUCGAACGGAAAGGCCCUGCUUUUGUGGGGUGCUCGAGUGGCGAACGGGUGAGUAACACGUGAGUAACCUGCCCUUGACUUUGGGAUAACUUCAGGAAACUGGGGCUAAUACCGGAUAGGAGCUCCUGCUGCAUGGUGGGGGUUGGAAAGUUUCGGCGGUUGGGGAUGGACUCGCGGCUUAUCAGCUUGUUGGUGGGGUAGUGGCUUACCAAGGCUUUGACGGGUAGCCGGCCUGAGAGGGUGACCGGCCACAUUGGGACUGAGAGACGGCCCAGACUCCUACGGGAGGCAGCAGUGGGGAAUAUUGCACAAUGGGCGGAAGCCUGAUGCAGCAACGCCGCGUGCGGGAUGACGGCCUUCGGGUUGUAAACCGCUUUCGCCUGUGACGAAGCGUGAGUGACGGUAAUGGGUAAAGAGGCACCGGCUAACUACGUG